rnacentral:rRNA from 1 species
UACGAAGGGGGCUAGCGUUGCUCGGAAUUACUGGGCGUAAAGGGCGCGUAGGCGGUUCGCUAAGUUGAAUGUGAAAACUCUGGGCUUAACCCAGAGCCUGCAUUCAAUACUGGCGGGCUAGAGUUCUGGAGGGGAUAGCGGAAUUCCUGGUGUAGCGGUGAAAUGCGUAGAUAUCAGGAGGAACACCGGUGGCGAAGGCGGCUAUCUGGACAGAGUCUGACGCUGAGGCGCGAAAGCUAGGGGAGCAAACAGG